GCCAGGCAUGUUGGCUCAUGCCUGUAAUCCUAGCACUUUGGGAGGCUGAGAUGGGAGGAUUGCUUGAGCCCAGGAGUUUGAGACAAGCCUGGGCAACAUAGCGAGACUCCAUCUCUA
ensembl:misc_RNA Metazoa_SRP Metazoan signal recognition particle RNA